rnacentral:rRNA from 1 species
UCAUAGAAUUUCUUUAAAUUCAUGAUGUCGUAAGGGAAAAUAAUGAUAUUACCUUACUAUAAGUGUCGUCCAAACCUGGUGCCAGAAGACUCGGUAAGACCAGAGACGCAAACGUUAAUCAUCUUAAACAGGCGUAAAGGGUUUGUAGGCAGCUUUCAUAAUAUUAUUUCUUACAAAAAUAAAGAAGUGGUCUGAUUGAAAGCUAGAAUCAAAAAGAGGUUAUAGUGUAUAACGCCUAGAGGAGGGCUGAUAUCCUUAGAUCCUAGGCAGAAUACUUAGGGCGAAGGCCACUCUCCACUAAUGAUUGACGCUGAGAAACGAAGGUAAGGGUAGGAAAUAGGAUUAGAUACCCCGGUACUCCUUUCUGUAAACGAUGAAUGGUAGUCAUUAGUAAAAUUAACUAGAGACGAAGUUAACACAAUAACCAUUCCGCCUUGUGAGUACUACUGCAAAGUAGAAAACAAAAAAAUUAGUCGGUCUCGAAGCAAACGGAGUGAAGCAUGUUAUUUA